AGUGGUUGUAGACGCGAAACCUUGCGAUCUACCCUUGAGCAGGUUGAAGGUUGGGUAAAACCAACUGGAGGACCGAACGAAUAAGCGUUGAAAAGCUUCUCGAUGACUUGAGGGUAGGGGUGAAAGGCUAAUCAAGCUGGGAAAUAGCUCGUACUCCCCGAAAUGCCUUUUGGGGCAGCGUUGUAAUAAAGAGUCUACUGGAGGUAGAGCUACUGAUUGGAUGCGGGGGCUUCACCGCCUACCAAAUCCUGACAAACUCCGAAUGCCAGUAGUAUGAUUUACAGCAGUGAGUGACUGGGUGCUAAUGUCCAGUCGCAAAAGAGGAACAACUCAGACCAGCAACUAAGGUCCCGAAGAAUAUGCUAAGUUGAUCUAACGAUGUUUUGUUGCAGAGACAGCUAGGAUGUUAGCUUGGAAGCAGCUAUUCAUUCAAAGAGUGCGUAACAGCUCACUAGUCGAGCGACAGAGCGUGGAUAAUAAACGGGCAUCAAGCAUAUCACCGAAGUUCUGGGCGCGAGAGCGCGGUAGGGGAGCAUUCCAUUCAGCGUCGAAGCAGUUUCGUGAGGAAUUGUGGAGCGUAUGGAAAAGCAAAUGUAGGCAUGAGUAACGAUAAUGCGGGAGAGUAACCCGCACACCGCAAGACCAAGGUUUCCUGAUCAACGCUAAUCGGAUCAGGGUUAGUCGGGUCCUAAGGGUAAGCCGAACGGCGAUCUCGAUGGAUAAUCGGUUAAUAUUCCGAUACUAACAUAUACCUCGAUGGAGAGACGAAGGAACGUAAGUGCCGCCACCUGACGGAAUAGGUGGUUAAAGGGCGUAGGUAUAGGGGCAGAUUAAGAGUUAGUCCUUGCUGAAACCUGACAGUACAGAGAGCCUACGGGCAAUUUGAUAGAGCACCCAAGUCGACUUCCGAGAAAAUCUUCUAAGUUAUAGUAUAUGUUACCCGUACCGUAAACCGACACAGGUGGUCGAGGAGAGUAUCCUAAGGUGCUCGAGUGAAUCACGGUUAAGGAACUAGGCAAAUUAACCCCGUAACUUCGGGAAAAGGGGUCCCUAUGAAAGUAGGGCGCAGCGAAGAGGUCCAGGCGACUGUUUAUCAAAAACACAGGGCUCUGCAAAUUCGAAAGAAGACGUAUAGGGCCUGACACCUGCCCGGUGCUGGAAGGUUAAGAGGGGAUGUCAUCGCAAGAGAAGCAUUGAAUCGAAGCCCCAGUAAACGGCGGCCGUAACUAUAACGGUCCUAAGGUAGCGAAAUUCCUUGUCGGGUAAGUUCCGACCUGCACGAAUGGUGUAACGAUCUGGACACUGUCUCAACCGUGAGCUCGGUGAAAUUGUAGUCCCGGUGAUGAUGCCGGGUACCCGCAACGGGACGAAAAGACCCCGUGAACCUUUACUAUAGCUUAACGCUGAAUUUGGGUACACAAUGUGUAGGAUAGGCCGGAGGCUUUGAAGCGGGCACGCCAGUGUUCGUGGAGCCGACGUUGAAAUACGGCCCUUUGUGUAUUUGAGUUCUAACCCUGCGAAGGGGACACCGUUUGGUGGGUAGUUUGACUGGGGUGGUCGCCUCCAAAAGCGUAACGGAGGCUUCCCAAGGUACCCUCAGCACGAAUGGUAACCGUGCGCGGAGUGCAAUAGCAUAAGGGUGCUUGACUGUGAGACAUACAAGUCGACCAGGUACGAAAGUAGGGUAUAGUGAUCCGGUGGUUCUGCGUGGACUGGCCAUCGCUCAAAGGAUAAAAGGUACUCCGGGGAUAACAGGCUGAUCGCCGCCAAGAGCUCAUAUCGACGCGGCGGUUUGGCACCUCGAUGUCGGCUCGUCACAUCCUGGGGCUGGAGAAGGUCCCAAGGGUUCGGCUGUUCGCCGAUUAAAGUGGCACGCGAGCUGGGUUCAGAACGUCGUGAGACAGUUCGGUCUCUAUCUGUUGCGGGCGUAGGAAGAUUGAGGGGUCCUGACUUUAGUACGAGAGGACCGAGUUGGACGAACCUCCGGUGUAUCGGUUAUGCUGCCAAGUGUAC
rnacentral:rRNA from 1 species